CGCUGGCGGUGUGCUUCACACAUGCAAGUCGAACGAGGUAGCAAUACCUAGUGGCGGACGGGUGAGUAACGCGUGGGAAUCUGCCUUUAGAUGGGGGAUAACGGGUCGAAAGACUCGCUAAUACCGCAUAUGACGAAAGUUGAAAGGAGUAAUCCGUCUAAAGAUGAGCCCGCGUCCGAUUAGCUAGUUGGUAGAGUAAAAGCCUACCAAGGCGACGAUCGGUAGCUGGUCUGAGAGGAUGAUCAGCCACAAUGGGACUGAGACACGGCCCAUACUCCUACGGGAGGCAGCAGUGGGGAAUUUUACGCAAUGGGCGAAAGCCUGACGUAGCGACACCGCGUGAGCGAAGAAGCCCCUUUGGGGUGUAAAGCUCUGUCAGCUGGAACGAAAAAAAUGACGGUACCAGCAGAGGAAGCAUCGGCUAACUACGUG
rnacentral:rRNA from 1 species